UUUCCGUAGGUGAACCUGCGGAAGGAUCAUUAUAAAUGAAAAACGAAUAACUUCAGGGAAGAAGGGAACCUGCACGGUGACCUCCCCUGUCGGGCCACCCAAUACCUUCAAAAUGCCGCCGUCCUAGCGGUGGCAGACGAAAAAAAAACAAGAAAAACAAAAUAGAAACAGGCACGGUGGCCCGUUCACCUUCACACAACCCUCCGAGUACCGCUUCCAUGUUGCUUCCCCGCAAAUCCACCUCUUUGGUGAGCGCGGGGGAGGUCCGCAUCAAAUUCACCUGAAUGUCACAGCAGUCAGACAGCCAUUCAUGGAAACAAUAAAACUUUCAACAACGGAUCUCUUGGCUCUC
rnacentral:misc_RNA from 1 species